AUGAUUUCCAACCUAGAAUUCUAUGUCCAGCCAUACUAUCAAUAUAGUAUGUGGUAUGAUAAAGACACUGUCAGUUAUGCAAGGACCAAAACACAAUAACAACAGCAACCUACUUCUGUUUAACUUUUCUAUAGAAAUUGCCAAAGAUUAUACUUCACCAAAAAGAAGGUAUAAGUCAGAAAGUCCAGGGGUUCCAGAAAUAGAUCAACUCAGGGGAGCAGUGGAGAGAAGUUCCAGGAUGACAGAUAUGCAGCAGACCUAAGAAACGGAAGGACCAAGAACUCUCGGAGAAAUGUCUUCAGUAAAAAAAUGGUGGUGCAGAGAACUGAAUUCAUUACCCUCCCCAUGACCAUAUCAUGGUACCACAUCAUUGAUGCUGUUGAUACAGCAUUGUGCAAAUAAUUGCAUUGUUAAUUAUCCCUUUUAUGAACAUUCUUCACUCUCAUUCUCUUCCAUGACUGCCAUCAUAGCCAAUGUGUUUUAAUUGUGGAUUUGAAUGUGAGUAAAUCCUUGCAAGAUAAAUUUGUGUCUUUUCAUUUACAUAAUGACAACACGAUAUAGUCCUCACAUUUGUCUUCCUUUACACUCAGCUGCUUUUAUGAUGUAUCAAAUUACCAUGAU
rnacentral:lncRNA from 1 species